UGGGGGAUAUUGCACAAUGGGCGAAAGCCUGAUGCAGCGACGCCACGUGGGGGAUGAAGGCCUUCGGGUUGUAAACUUCUUUUGCUCUGAACAAGGCAUGCCUUUGGGGUGUGUUGAGUGUAGGGGUUGAUUAGCGCCGGCUAAAUACGUGCCAGCAGCCGCGGUAAUACGUAGGGCGCGAGCGUUGUCCGGAAUUAGUGGGCGUAAAUGGCUUGUAGGUGGUUGGUUGCGUCUGUCGUGAAAGCUCAUGGCUUAACUGUGGGUUUGCGGUGGGUACGGGCUGGCUUGAGUGCAGUAGGUGAGGCUGGAAUUCCUGGUGUAGCGGUGGAAUGCGCAGAUAUCAGGAGGAAUACCGGUGGCGGAGGCGGGUCUCUGGGCUGUUACUGACGCUGAGGAGCGAAAGCGUGGGGAGCGAACAGG
rnacentral:rRNA from 1 species